UCCGGUAUGGUCUAGCGACUAGGAUACCUGGAUCUCACCCAGGAAGCCCGGAUUCAAUUCCCGGUGUCGGAA